rnacentral:rRNA from 1 species
AUUGAACGCUGGCGGCAGGCCUAACACAUGCAAGUCGAACGCGUGGCGGGCGGGUGAGUCAUGUCUGGGACCCUGCCUGAUGGAGGGGGUUAACUACUGGAAACGGUAGCUAAUCCCGCAUACCAUCAGAUGUGCCCAGAUUGGAUUAGCUUGUUGGUGGGGUAACGGCUCACCAAGGCCACGAUCCCUAGCUGGUCUGAGAGGGUGACCGGCCACACUGGAACUGAGACACGGUCCAGACUCCUACGGGAGGCAGCAGUGGGGAAUAUUCCGCAAUGGGCGCAAGCCUGAUGCAGCCAUGCCGCGUGAGUGAAGAAGGCCUUCGGGUUGUAAAGGACUUUCAGUGGGGAAGCGUUACCCGCAGAAGAAGCACCGGCUAACUCCGUGCCAGCCGCCGCGGUAAUAC